rnacentral:pre_miRNA from 1 species
GCGUAGGUGCGCGGGGCGAUAUCGCUUGGACAUACUGUACAGUUAAGUGAAUUAUCUCCCUUCCGCAUUUAGCCC